UACGGGAGGCAGCAGUGGGGAAUAUUGGACAAUGGGCGAAAGCCUGAUGCAGCAAUGCCGCGUGUGUGAAGAAGGCCUGCGGGUUGUAAAGCACUUUCAGUAGGGAGGAAACAGUUGCGGGUUAAUAUCCCGCGACCUUGACGUUACCUACAGAAGAAGCACCGGCUAACUCUGUGCCAGCGACCGCGGUAAU
rnacentral:rRNA from 1 species